rnacentral:tRNA from 1 species
GAAUCAAGUUACUCAAAAAUAAGCUUCUAACUUAAUUUUUAAGCGGUGAAAUACCGUUUUUGAUUCU